GACGAACGCUGGCGGCGUGCCUAAUACAUGCAAGUAGAACGCUGAAGUAGGAGCUUGCUUCUCUGGAUGAGUUGCGAACGGGUGAGUAACGCGUAGGUAACCUGCCUGGUAGCGGGGGAUAACUCUUGGAAACGAUAGCUAAUACCGCAUAAUAGCAGUUAUUGCAUGAUAACUGUUUGAAAGGUGCAAUUGCACCACUACCAGAUGGACCUGCGUUGUAUUAGUUAGUUGGUGGUGUAACGGCUCACCAAGGCGACGAUACAUAGCCGACCUGAGAGGGUGAUCGGCCAAAAUGGGACUGAGACACGGCCCAGGCUCCUACGGGAGGGAGCAGUAGGGAAUCUUCGGCAAUGGACGGAAGUCUGACCGGGCAACGGCGGGUGAGUGAAGAAGGGUUUCGGAUCGUAAAGCUCUGUUGUAAGGGAAGAACGAGUGUGAGAGUGGAAAGUUCACACUGUGACGGUACCUGACCAGAAAGGGACGGCUAACUACGUG
rnacentral:rRNA from 1 species